rnacentral:snoRNA from 1 species
AGGCCUGUGAUGAAUUAACUUUUAGUUGGAAUUACCGGCUGAAUAUAAGUUGAUGACAUUUUUUUUCUGAGGCCUAAU